UAAAGAGAGACGAAAUUAGCAUCUCAUAAUUUUGUUAAAAAACCGAUUAUAAGCAGAAAUCGGAAACAAAAAGUAAAUUAGAAAAAUGCUCAUUCUCAUCCAUUUUCCUACAAAUUAAUCAUGAUUGGUGUAUCAUAUUUUCCUUUCUACCUCCACUGGGAUCUACCUUCAUCACGUCCCAACAGAUUUCAAAGCUAUUUUGGUUACUUUGAUGGCGUGGACAUAAUAUAAUCGACCUCCGGCUAAUAUAAUGGUCAUAUCUCCUCAGGAGAUCUUCGGUUCUUUUCUUGAGCAUCAAUAGUUUAAAUACAACAUUCUUGGGCCAAUUUAUAAAUUUGACCCUGUGUCUAAGCGACCUCCCACCACCAUGAGAGAGUGUCCAGGGUGCUUCCCCUGGGAAAACUUACUGUCAAGCAUCCGGGCAGAUGCAAUGUAUUCAAAUCCAGGGGCACUUGAGGAGGACGGCGAGUGUAAUCGAAUGGCUGAAUCUACCUUAUAUUGCUCAGCAUGCCUUCUUGGUCUCCGACGCUUUGACUAUUUCACCAGCCAUCUCGAGACUACAAAACAUGCAACUGAAGAACUGGAAUAUUACCCUGAGGGAAUUGUGCCCGCCCGUAAAUUUCGUUCUCGUUCUCGUUCGGAGGAUGCUACUGCCAUCCGAGAAUUGAUAAAUCAAAUUAGAGAAAGUAAAACUGCGGCUUGCAAAAGACAUAAGAGAUCAUGAAGAAUAAGAAGAAAAGUAGCAUGUGUCAGAUGCUGUUGUUGUUCAUCUCUUUAAGACAUGAAGAAUUGUUUGUUUGUUCUACUUCUAGCGGGGAAACGGAGUUAUGUUAACUGAUAAAUACUUAUGGCUUUUCAUCUUGAAGUCUCGUUUUUUAUGAACAUGUCUUCUUUGAAUUGGCAACUCUCUUUUAUUAUUGUAAACACA